rnacentral:lncRNA from 1 species
UAACAUCAGACUAUUUUCUUCAUAAGGUUUUCUAUUCCAUGACCACAAACCAAGAGUAAUCGUCGUCAUAUAGCCACCAAUGCAAGUUUUAGCUCCAAAAACAAAAGGAGUGGGGACUGUCAUGCACUACGUACGAUUUAAUCUGCUAUCUUACCUCCUACUAACCAGCCAAGAGUGAUUGUCUUUAAACUCAAAGUUAUUGGUUUUUUCCAUGAACAACUAAUCAGUAACAAAGUUUUCUGUUAAGUUGAUUGUCAUUGCAGUCUAAAUUAGCACUCUAUGUUUGUGAUACCUUCUCAUAAACAUUUCAUCAAAUAAUUUAAAUGCAAUUCGAGUAUGGGGUUCGUUGCAAAACAUAAGACAAAAAACAUUACAUGAAAAUUGCAUGAAUGACAGCUGCGAAAUCCAAAUUAAGUAUAACCAAUAUCCUACACUAACCAUUGUUGAAGUAAUCUAUAUUUGAUGUGAAAUUGAUCUUACUUGGAUGGGAUCAAUAUCUUGCAUUUUCACUUCAGAGUUGCCACUGGCAGCAGAUUUAUUGUAAUUAUUAUUAUUUACUUUUCCCAGGUUGAGAUGUUCACGUGAAGCCAUAAGGACUUGAACAGCCUACAUGAAAAGUACUCCAGUUAUGUAUGAUAAACAGCAGGAAAUACAGUAAACACGAAAAAUAAUUAAAUUUUUGAAAUUAAAUAGAUUCCACGAUUUUCUUUGCACAAAUAAACCCAUUUUCAUAAACCCUAAAAAAUGUAUCUUAGAAUUACAAUAACCCCCAAAUCCUAAAGCAAAAUUUUCAAUUUUGUAAACCGUAGUUCUUUUUACACAUAAAAAACACGAUAUUUUAACAACAAUUGUAGAUUAUAAGUAAAUCCAUAAACCCUUUUAGCCAUGAAAGUAACCACAUAAACCCAAAUUGUUGAUUAUAAUUCAAAAUUCAAAAACCCUAAAAAACAAUUUCCAAAUUGAAAACCCAACCAAAGAAGAAGAAGAAUGAAUGAAGAAGAAAGAAAAAAAGAAAGAAAACCUACCAAAUCGUCGUAGCAGUAGCAGUAGCAGCAGUUCAACCGCUUCUCUUCUUCGUUAUCGCCAUCUCUCUCUCUUCUCUGGUUCUCUUGAUAUCGUGUUGUGAAAAA